rnacentral:rRNA from 1 species
UACGUAGGGGGCAAGCGUUGUCCGGAUUUAUUGGGCGUAAAGAGCGUGUAGGCGGUCUGGUAGGUCCGUUGUGAAAACUCGAGGCUCAACCUCGAGACGCCGAUGGAAACCCUCAGACUAGAGUCCGGAAGAGGAGAGUGGAAUUCCUGGUGUAGCGGUGAAAUGCGCAGAUAUCAGGAGGAACACCAAUGGCGAAGGCAGCUCGCUGGGACGGUACUGACGCUGAGACGCGAAAGCGUGGGGAGCAAACAGG